rnacentral:rRNA from 1 species
UACGUAGGGGGCAAGCGUUGGUCCGGAUUUAUUGGGCGUAAAGCGCACGCAGGCGGUCUUUUACGUUUUGUAGUGACAGGUGGUGGGCUUAACUGUCCACAGGCCUCGAAAUACGGGAAGACGUUGAGGACUUCAGGAGGGAUGCGGAAUUCCAGGUGGAGCGGUGAAAUGCGUAGAGAUCUGGAAGAACACCAAAGGCGAAGGCAG